rnacentral:rRNA from 1 species
AUGCAGUCGACGGGCUCUUCGGAGCAAGUGGCGGACGGGUGAGUAACGCGUGAGAUUGUGCCUUGAGGAUGGGGAUAACAAUAGGAAACUAAUGCUAAGACCCAAUGUGCCUUAAGUGGUGAAAAAUGAAAAUUGCCUGAAGAGGAGCUCGCGUCUGAUUAGCUAGUUGGGGUGGUAAAAGCGCACCAAGGCGACGAUCAGUAGCUGGUCUGAGAGGAUGAGCAGCCACACUGGGACUGAGACACGGCCCAGACUCCUACGGGAGGCAGCAGUGGGGAAUUUUCCGCAAUGGGCGAAAGCCUGACGGAGCAAUACCGCGUGAGGGAGGAAGGCUCUUGGGUUGUAAACCUCAAAACUUAGGGAAGAAAAAAAUGACGGUACCUAAUUUAAGCAUCGGCUAACUCCUG